rnacentral:rRNA from 1 species
CCAAUAGCGUAUAUUAAAGUUGUUGCAGUUAAAAAGCUCGUAGUUGAACUUCGGGGUCUACCCAUUGGUCAGGCUUAAUUGUCUGCACUGGUGAGAUGGAUCUCUACCUUCUGAGGAACUUUCAUGCCAUUUAUUUGGUGUGAUGGGAAAUCAGGACUGUUACUUUGAAAAAAUUAGAGUGUUUAAAGCAGACUAUCGUCUGAAUACAUUAGCAUGGAAUAAUGAAAUAGGACGGACUGAUUCUAUUUCGUUGGUUUCUAGGAUCACCGUAAUGAUUAAUAGGGAUAGUUGGGGGCAUUAGUAUUCAAUUGUCAGAGGUGAAAUUCUUGGAUUUAUUGAAGACUAACUACUGCGAAGGCAUUUGCCAAGGAUGUUUUCAUUAAUCAAGAACGAAAGUUAGGGGAUCGAAGACGAUCAGAUACCGUCGUAGUCUUAACCAUAAACUAUGCCGACUAGGGAUCGGACGAAGUUAAUUUUAUAAUGACGCGUUCGGCACCUUACG